UACGUAGGCAGCGAGCGUUGUUCGGAAUUACUGGGCGUAAAGCGUGUGUAGGCGGUGCUCUAAGUUCGGUGUGAAAUCUCCUGGCUCAACUGGGAGGGUGCGCCGGAAACUGGAGUGCUUGAGCGUGGGAGAGGAAAGCGGAAUUCCUGGUGUAGCGGUGAAAUGCGUAGAUAUCAGGAGGAACACCUGUGGCGUAGACGGCUUUCUGGACCAUAGCUGACGCUGAGACACGAAAGCGUGGGUAGCAAACAGG
rnacentral:rRNA from 1 species